rnacentral:rRNA from 1 species
UACAGAGGUCUCAAGCGUUGUUCGGAUUCAUUGGGCGUAAAGGGUGCGUAGGCGGCGCGGUAAGUCGGGUGUGAAAUCUCGGGGCUUAACUCCGAAACUGCAUUCGAUACUGCCGUGCUUGAGGACUGGAGAGGAGACUGGAAUUUACGGUGUAGCGGUGAAAUGCGUAGAUAUCGUAAGGAAGACCAGUGGCGAAGGCGGGUCUCUGGACAGUUCCUGACGCUGAGGCACGAAGGCCCAGGGGGAGCAAACGGGG